rnacentral:rRNA from 1 species
UCAAGCAACUAAGCGCAUACGGUGGAUGCCUUGGCAGUCAGAGGCGAUGAAAGACGUGGAAGCCUGCGAUAAGGUUCGGGGAGCUGGCAAACAAGCUGUGAUCCGGGCAUUUCUGAAUGGGGAAACCCACCGACUUUCGGGUCGGUAUCUUGCACUGAAUACAUAGGUGUAAGAGGCGAACCGGGGGAACUGAAACAUCUAAGUACCCCGAGGAAAAGAAAUCAACCGAGAUUCCCUAAGUAGCGGCGAGCGAACGGGGACUAGCCCUUAAGCUAGACAACUGGUAGGAGAAGGCUCUGGAAAGUGCCGCCAUAGUGGGUGAUAGCCCCGUAUCCGAAACCUGAGUCUGGUGAAAUCGAGUAGGACGGGACACGUGAUAUCCUGUCUGAACAUGGGGGGACCAUCCUCCAAGGCUAAAUACUCCUGACUGACCGAUAGUGAACCAGUACCGUGAGGGAAAGGCGAAAAGAACCCCUGUGAGGGGAGUGAAAUAGAUCCUGAAACCGUAUGCGUACAAGCAGUCGGAGCGGACUUGUUCCGUGACGGCGUACCUUUUGUAUAAUGGGUCAGCGACUUAUGUUCAGUGGCGAGGUUAACCGUUUAGGGGAGCCGUAGGGAAACCGAGUCUGAAUAGGGCGAUUUAGUCGCUGGGCAUAGACCCGAAACCGGGCGAUCUAUCCAUGAGCAGGUUGAAGGUGCCGUAACAGGCACUGGAGGACCGAACCCACUGUCGUUGAAAAGCCAGGGGAUGACUUGUGGAUCGGAGUGAAAGGCUAAUCAAGCCCGGAGAUAGCUGGUUCUCCCCGAAAGCUAUUUAGGUAGCGCCUCGGACGAAUACCACAGGGGGUAGAGCACUGUUUCGGCUAGGGGGUCAUCCCGACUUACCAACCCGAUGCAAACUCCGAAUACCUGUGAGUACUAUCCGGGAGACACACGGCGGGUGCUAACGUCCGUCGUGAAGAGGGAAACAACCCAGACCGCCAGCUAAGGUCCCCAAGUACCAGUUAAGUGGGAAACGAUGUGGGAAGGCUCAGACAGCUAGGAGGUUGGCUUAGAAGCAGCCAUCCUUUAAAGAAAGCGUAAUAGCUCACUAGUCGAGUCGGCCUGCGCGGAAGAUGUAACGGGGCUCAAACUGGUCACCGAAGCUGCGGCUGCAUACUUUGUAUGCGGGGUAGGGGAGCGUUCUGUAAGCCUGCGAAGGUGUGUUGAGAAGCAUGCUGGAGGUAUCAGAAGUGCGAAUGCUGACAUGAGUAACGACAAUGCGGGUGAAAAACCCGCACGCCGGAAGACCAAGGGUUCCUGCGCAACGCUAAUCGGCGCAGGGUGAGUCGGCCCCUAAGGCGAGACCGAAAGGUGUAGUCGAUGGGAAACGGGUUAAUAUUCCCGUACCUUGGAUAGCUGCGAUGGAGAGACGGAGAAGGCUAGGUGAGCCGGGCGACGGUUGUCCCGGUUUAAGCGAGUAGGGAGUGGACUUAGGCAAAUCCGGGUCCACAAUCUCGAGACGCGACGACGACUGCUCUUAGAGCGGGAAGUCAUUGAUGCCAUGCUUCCAGGAAAAUCUUCUAAGCUUCAGGCUAUUCGAGACCGUACCCCAAACCGACACAGGUGGUCAGGUAGAGAAUACCAAGGCGCUUGAGAGAACUCGGGUAAAGGAACUAGGCAAAAUGGUGCCGUAACUUCGGGAGAAGGCACGCUGGUGGUAAGUGAAAUCCCUGCGGGUGGAGCUGAAGCCAGUCGAAGAUACCAGGCCCCUGCGACUGUUUAUUAAAAACACAGCACUGUGCAAACACGAAAGUGGACGUAUACGGUGUGACGCCUGCCCGGUGCCGGAAGGUUAAUUGAUGGGGUUAGCGCUUGCGCGAAGCUCUUGAUCGAAGCCCCGGUAAACGGCGGCCGUAACAAUAACGGUCCUAAGGUAGCGAAA